rnacentral:rRNA from 1 species
GAUGAACGCUGGCGGCGUGCCUAACACAUGCAAGUCGAGCGAACUUCUUCGGAAGUGAGCGGCGGACGGGUGAGUAACGCGUGGGUAACCUGCCCUAUACACACGGAUAACGUACCGAAAGGUACGCUAAUACGAGAUGAUAUAUUUUUAUCGCAUGGUAGAAAUAUCAAAGCUCCGGCGGUAUAGGAUGGACCCGCGUCUGAUUAGCUAGUUGGUAAGGUAACGGCUUACCAAGGCGACGAUCAGUAGCCGACCUGAGAGGGUGAUCGGCUACAUUGGAACUGAGACACGGUCCAAACACCUACGGGUGGCAG